AAUGAACGUUGGCGGCGUGGAUUAGGCAUGCGAGUCGAGCGAGAACCGUAGCAAUACGGGGACAGCGGCGAAAGGGACAGUAACGGGUAGAUUAUCUGCCCUCAGGUUUGGGAUAGCUGCGGGAAACUGCAAGUAAUACCAAAUAAUAUCUCCGGAUCAAAGGUGUGAUUCCGCCUGAGGAUGAGUCUGCCUCCUAUUAGCUUGUUGGUGGGGUAACGGCCUACCAAGGCAUUGAUGGGUAGCGGGUGUGAGAGCACGACCCGCGUCAUUGGGACUGAGACACUGCCCAGACACCUACGGGUGGCUGCAGUCGAGAAUCUUCGGCAAUGGACGCAAGUCUGACCGAGCGACGCCGCGUGUGGGAUGAAGGCCUUCGGGUUGUAAACCACUGUCAGAGGGGAUGAAAUGCAGGUGGGUACUCCCAUUUGUUUGACAUAGCCUCAGAGGAAGUACGGGCUAAGUUCGUGCCAGCCGCCGCGGUAA
rnacentral:rRNA from 1 species